rnacentral:lncRNA from 1 species
AUAUAUAUGUAACACUCAGAAACGUGUCCUUCCCCCAAACGUGUCCGAUACUCCCAAACGUGUCCACAUCGACGUCACUGAACUGCAAAACAUGUCUAGUUGUAAAAAGGGCGUCAAAGCGUGUCAUUUGUAUUAUUUAAACGCCUAAACGUGUCCAUUUUUUAAUAAACACCCAAACGUGCCCAAUCCCAAACGUGCCAAUUCCCCAAACUUGUCCUAUAAUAUAAAGGGAACUAAAAGAUUGUUACACUGAUAUUCCGUAAAAAUAAAACUGUCCUUUUCCGCUCCAAAAAAAUAUAAUUUAAUUUCGAGUUACGAUUAGUGUAGAUUCCUAAUAACCGUAAAGUGUAAAUUCUUAAUAACUGUACACAAUUCAUUUAGGCCUAAUCCCAAAUUCCCGGAAUAAUUAAGGUACAAUCCAAGAGUUCCGGCAAAUAUUCUUCCGCAUCUCAUUAUAUAACUUAUCCAAAGUAUGUUGUCGUCCUGUCCAUGCAUGAAAUAUUUGCCACUGGACGUAAUGUCUCUUGUUUGCGUGUAUUUAAGUGAUGCUCGAAACUAAAAGUUCAUAAUAUAAAACCUUACUACCAGUUUAUAAUUUUUAGAGCUUUUUUUUUCCAUUUUUUUGAGAGAAUCAAAUAGUUUCUUAGUGAAGUUUUAAAAAAAUCGGUCUUU